GAGCGCUUGAGGGGCAACCCCAAGAGAGCAGCGAACGGGUGAGUAACGCGUGGGUGAUCUUCCUUCGAGUGGGGAACAACAUCGGGAAACUGGUGCUAAUUCCGCAUAAUACCCUGGGGCUACGAGCCUCAGGAUCAAAGCCGGGGACCGCAAGGCCUGGCGCUUGAAGAUAAGCCCGCGUCCGAUUAGCUAGUUGGCGGGGUAAUGGCCCACCAAGGCUCCGACCGGUAGCCGGCCUGAGAGGGCGGACGGCCACACUGGAACUGAGACACGGUCCAGACUCCUACGGGAGGCAGCAGUGGGGAAUUUUCGCAAUGGGCGCAAGCCUGACGAAGCAACGCCGCGUGGAGGAUGAAGGUCUUCGGAUUGUAAACUCCUGUCGAAAGGGACGAAUGCACUCGACCUAAUACGUCGGAAUGUUGACGGUACCGGUGGAGGAAGCCACGGCUAACUCUGUGCCAGCAGCCGCGGUAAUACAGAGGUGGCAAGCGUUGUUCGGAAUUACUGGGCGUAAAGGGCGCGUAGGCGGCCUUGUAAGUCUCGUGUGAAAGCCCUCGGCUUAACUGAGGAUCUGCACGGGAUACUGCGAGGCUUGAGUUCGGGAGAGGAAAGCGGAAUUCCGGGUGUAGCGGUGAAAUGCGUAGAUAUCCGGAGGAACACCAGUGGCGAAGGCGGCUUUCUGGACCGACACUGACGCUGAGGCGCGAAAGCUAGGGGAGCAAACG
rnacentral:rRNA from 1 species